rnacentral:rRNA from 1 species
AGCGAACGCUGGCGGUAGGCCUAACACAUGCCAGUCGAACGGCAGCACAGUAAGAGUUUGCUCUUACGGGUGGCGAGUGGCGGACGGGUGAGGAAUACAUCGGAAUCUACUUUUUCGUGGGGGAUAACGUAGGGAAACUUACGCUAAUACCGCAUACGACCUACGGGUGAAAGCAGGGGAUCUUCGGACCUUGCGCGAUUGAAUGAGCCGAUGUCGGAUUAGCUAGUUGGCGGGGUAAAGGCCCACCAAGGCGACGAUCCGUAGCUGGUCUGAGAGGAUGAUCAGCCACACUGGAACUGAGACACGGUCCAGACUCCUACGGGAGGCAGCAGUAGGGAAUAUUGGACAAUGGGCGCAAGCCUGAUCCAGCCAUACCGCGUGGGUGAAGAAGGCCUUCGGGUUGUAAAGCCCUUUUGUUGGGAAAGAAAAGCAGCAGGUUAAUACCCCGCUGUUCUGACGGUACCCAAAGAAUAAGCACCGGCUAACUUCGUG